rnacentral:rRNA from 1 species
UUAGGAAUCGUACACAAUGGACGAAAGUCUGAUGUCGUGACGCCGCGUGAAGGAAGAAGGUCUUCGGAUUGUAAACUUCUUUUAUAUGGGAAGAUUAUGACUUUACCAUAAGAAUAAGCAUCGGCUAACUCCGUGCCAGAAGCCUCGGUAUACGGAGGAUGCAAGCGUUAUCCGGUUUUAUUGGGCGUAAAGAGCGCGUAGGCGGUCUAUUAAGUCUGAUUUUAAAUAUCACGGCUCAACCGUGAAGAUGGAUUGGAUACUGAUUGACUUGAGUAUUUGCAGGGGCAAGCGGAAUCUGCGGUGUAGGGGUAAAAUCCAUUGAUAUCGCAGAGAACACCAAUGGCGAAGGCAGCUUGCUAGGCAUUCACUGACGCUGAGGCGCGAAAGCGUGGGUAGCGAA